rnacentral:lncRNA from 1 species
GGUAGAGAGAAAGUGAGGGGAGAGGGAGAGAGGAGCCUGGAGGAAAGAAGAGAGAGGGAGAGGAAAGGGAGGGGGAGAGAGAGAAAGAGAGAGAAAGCGGGGAGAGAAGAGAGUAAGAGUGAGGGAUGAGAGUGAGAGAGAGUGCUGGGGGGACUCGGGGACUAGGAGGAGGUUCAAAGCCGGGCUGGGGCUCUGGGAGGCGCCCAAGGCGGCCCCAGCGUCUUUCUCUGCCCACCUGGGGUGGCCCCACACCUGCGGCUCCUCCCUCCCCGAGCCCAGCCCGCGGCUGGGGGCCGGGCACCGAGCCCCCGGGGAGAGUAGAGGGGGUUAAAGGUGAGCGGGCACGAGCCGGCGGCAGACGGGGAUUGGCAGGCGCCCGAGCCCAGGGCCCGGGCCAUGGCUGCCCCACAGGCCUCUGAGCGGCUGAGCGGCUGCCGCCCACGUGCUAAGGAGAGAAGGAGGCACCAGAUCAAGGGGCAAAGGACACCUCGGAGCGGGGCGGGGGUGCCCGCGUCCACACCCGCUGCUAAAAGCCGGGCCCGCGGCGCAGCGCACGGAGCCCUCUGCCGCCCGCGCGGAGAAGGCGCCGAGCGCGGUCGGGCGGUCCCAAGCAUCCCCGCAGCGCCCCCGCCGCCCGCCGCCCGCCGCCCGCCCCCGGCCGCCCGCCGCCCGCGGGACCCCCGGCUCUGGCCGCGCCGCGCCCCUCUGCAGGUCGAGCGGAUUCCAGGUGAGGGCGUGGAGCCCCCGCGUCAUCAGCUCAGCCCGCGUCUCUGGCUCAGCUGGGUUGAAGGGCUUCAUAGGCUUAUGUGGCCUCCUCGCUCAGCCUCAGCUGCCAGGAGGAAGGAGGCAAACUCGUACCCCAGGGAGGACUCCGGAUCAGGAAUCCAAGAAUUCAUCCUGCUAGAAGGUACUUCUCUCUUCCUCUCCUGUGUCCUCCCUGUCCCACGCCCCAGCUCAGCCUAG